rnacentral:tRNA from 4 species
GGGCUGGUAGCUCAGCGGUAGAGCAAAGGACUCUUAAUCCUUAGGUCCAGGGUUCGAAUCCCUGCCAGCUCACAA